rnacentral:Y_RNA from 1 species
GGCUGGUCCGAUGGUAGUGGGUUACCAGAGCUUAUAAACAUUAGUGUCGCUGACGUUGGUAUUCAACCCCCCACUGCUGAAUCAGACUGGCUUUUA